rnacentral:rRNA from 1 species
UACGUAGGGCGCAAGCGUUAUCCGGAAUUAUUGGGCGUAAAGAGCUCGUAGGCGGUCUGUCGCGUCGGAUGUGAAAGCCCGGGGCUUAACCCCGGGUCUGCAUUCGAUACGGGCAGACUAGAGUGUGGUAGGGGAGAUCGGAAUUCCUGGUGUAGCGGUGAAAUGCGCAGAUAUCAGGAGGAACACCGGUGGCGAAGGCGGAUCUCUGGGCCAUUACUGACGCUGAGGAGCGAAAGCGUGGGGAGCGAACAGG